rnacentral:rRNA from 1 species
AACGGCCGUACCAUGCUGAAUAUACCGGUUCUCGUUAGAUCACCGAAGUCAAGCAUCAUUGGGCUCGGUCAGUACUUGGGUGGGUGACCACCUGGGAACACCGCGUGCCGUU